rnacentral:rRNA from 1 species
UACGAAGGGGGCUAGCGUUGCUCGGAAUCAUUGGGCGUAAAGCGCACGUAGGCGGUUCGUUAUGUCGGAUGUGAAAGCCCUUGGCUUAACCGAGGAAGUGCAUCCGAAACUGUCGAGCUAGAGUACGAAAGAGGAUCGCGGAAUUCCCGGUGUAGAGGUGAAAUUCGUAGAUAUCGGGAGGAACACCGGUGGCGAAGGCGGCGAUCUGGGUCGAUACUGACGCUGAGGUGCGAAAGCGUGGGGAGCAAACAGG